AAAACCUACAACAAGUGUACUCCCAGGUCCCGCCUUCAGGUGCUGCCACAGUGAUUGUUGGUGGUGUUGUGCUGCUGGUGGCUGCAGCUGCUGCUGUGAUCGCUACGGGAUAAAAAAAUGUAUUCUACAUACUGAAGAAAUGAGCCAGAGGACACAGACCUGCCUUUGUUAAAAGAUAACACUUUCAACAGCUUCAUUAUGAGCUCAUUGUAACAUGAUCAAAUUUCUAAAUAAAUAUAAAUCUGAUUUCUCCUCCUGGGAGCCUUUUAAAAUCCUCUGUGUGCAUAUAAAAUCUAAUUCUGAUGUUUCAUACCUUUUGCUCUUUGCACAUAAUGCAUACUUGCUUUUUCUGCAAUUAUUAGCUAAAAUAUCUGAUGUGAAAUGACAUGUAUAAGAAACUGAAUUUAUCGAAUGUGGGUUUUUUUUUUUUGUUUUUUUUUAAAUGAAACAAGCAUGUGAUGUAUGAAAUGUUAUCACUCUCUUCUCUCCCAGAAGUUUCUAGAAACACCUGAGCUGUUUAAUGUAAAAACUUGUGACGCUUUAAUUGCUGGAAUUACUUGCAUAUUCAUUUACUGUUAAAUUAUUUUGCUUUUGUGUUUGCUUAUACAGUAUUAUAACUGUGCUUUACUUUCAUGCUAUACUACAUUCACUUCACUGCACUUUAAUGUAAAACUAUCUGAUA